rnacentral:rRNA from 1 species
AACGAACGCUGGCGGCGUGGAUAAGACAUGCAAGUCGAACGCUAAUUUGAGUGUAGCAAUACAUUCAAGUUGGAGUGGCGCAAGGGUGCGUAACACGUGGGUAAUUUGCCGUGAAGUUGGGGAUAACUCGCUGAAAGGCGAGCUAAUACCGAAUGGGAUCAUUGGGAGGCAUCUUUUGAUGAUCAAAGUUGGGGACCGCAAGGCCUGACGCUUCACGAUAAGCCCGCGGCCUAUCAGCUAGUUGGUGAGGUAACGGCUCACCAAGGCUAAGACGGGUAGCUGGUCUGAGAGGACGACCAGUCACACUGGAACUGAGACACGGUCCAGACACCUACGGGUGGCAGCAGUCGAGAAUUUUUCNCAAUGGGCGAAAGCCUGAAGGAGCGACG